rnacentral:lncRNA from 1 species
UGAUUGUACUUGUAUAUGUAGAUGAUUUGUUAAUCACAGGGAAUGACUCCACAUUGAUACAAGAAACCAAAUAGGUUCUGCACAAACAUUUCAAAAUCAAAGAUUUAGAUGAGCUGAGAAAUUUUCUGGGAAUAGAAUUUUGCAGAUCAGAGAAGGGAAUUGUUAUGAACCAAAGGAAAUAUGCUUUAGAGUUGGUGUCUGAAGCUGUUCUAGCAGGGGGAGACCUUCAUCUAUACCUUUGGAAUGUAUCAUGAAACUUACUAGUGCAGAGUUUUUUGAUUCUGAUGCAUUAUUCACUGAUAUAGCUAAAUAUCAAAGGUUGAUUGGGAAGUUGCUCUAUCUUACUAACACCAGACCUAACAUAGGUUUUUCAGUUCAGUGUCUGAGUCAAUUUAUGCAGAAGCCUACUAUGUCUCACUAGAAUACAACUCUGAAAGUAGUGAGAUAUAUCAAGGCUGCACCAGGUCUAGGACUACUUAUGAGUGCCGAGAAACAAACAAACCUUACUAGCUUUUGUGAUGCAGAUUGGGCUGCACGCCCCAACACAAGAAGGUCAGUGACUGGAUUUUUACUGAAGCUUUGAUAUCUUGGAAAUCAAAGAAGCAGAACACAGUUUUCAGGAGUUCUGCAGAAGCAGAAUAUAGAAGUUUGGUUACAUUGACUGCUGAGGUGGUUUGACUGACUAAAUUGUUUAAUGAAUUGGGGCUGAGCUUAGAUAAACUUGUCACCAUUCAUUGUUAUAGCAAAGACAGAUUUACAGAUAGCAGCAAAUCCCGUGUUUCAUGAGAGGACGAAGCACAUAGAAAUUGAUUGCCACUUUAUCUGGGAAAUGAUGCAACAGGGCUUGAUAAGAACAAGUUAUAUCAGCACCAAGGAUCAACAGGCUGAUUUGUUGACAAAGGCACUUGGGAGAACUCAAUAUGAUUUUCUACUUUCCAAGCUAGGUGUUUUGAAUAUCUUCAGUAGACCUAGCUUGAGGGGGAGUAUUGAAGAUGAAGGUUCAAGUAGUUAGUUAGGUUCACAAAGUUAGUUAAGGGUUAAUUAAUUGUACUUGUCAUCAUUAUAGUCGGUUAAGUUUGUUACACAAUUCUAGAAGAUUAGAAGUAGUUAGCAAGUAGUUAGUAACUAGUACAAUUGUAUAUAUAGGAGCUCUUUCUUUCUGUAAUCACAGUUUUAGUAUGCAAUACAAAAUUUCUCAAUUCUCUCUUCUCUCUUCCUAAAUUCAUCAUAUAUAUAUAUAUAUAUAUAUAUAUAUUCUAUUAUUAAAGUUACCUAAGUUUCAUAAGUGGUCCCUAAAUUAUAUUUCCUUAAAUCAAAACCAGACAAUUUAUUUUUAGCACAUAAAAAUCAUUAGACACUGACCAUUGUAUUCAAAAAUCACAAUGCUAAAAAAUUUUAAACUUGUGUAUUGUUAAGGGGAAUUUCAAUCUAUCUUAAUGAUGCUAAGGGAAUUGAAAAGCUUCUUUAAUGUAUCUAGGUUGGACACAAAUACAGUAAAAUCAAAUAUCUAUGGAGCGAAUAUGACAAGCCAAUGUGUAAAUAAUAUUUGUGAGUUGACUUGGUACCAAAAAGAGGCCUUACCUUUCAGAUAGAUAUCUCUCAAGAUAGAUAUACAUAAAUAUACAUAAUUUUUUCCGAAGUUAACGGAUGCACGUGUACACAAUCUAGAAGGGUGGGUCUGCCUCUAGCGAUGGGUGGAUCAUGUCUACGUGACACCCCAGAAAUUUUUUCGAACUAAGACUUGAACCAUCCUUCGUUGUGAGUAGGAUUUUUACCGAGCACGUCUCCGUCGACGUGCCUCUUUCAACGUGUUUUUUAAAAAUAAAAUUUAAAAAAUUAUUUCUUUUGUUCUUCUUUAAUUUAAUUAGUUUAUAAUUUUUUUUGAAAUAGAAUCCGUUUUAGCUAUAACUUUUAGUUUUAAAUUCAAAACUUAACGCUGAAGCGGGAAAAAAAGUAACUAACAACUUAAAUCAUGUUAAAAUUUAAUCAACUUGCUAAAUUCUACCUUUCUCUUAUUAUAUAAGAGACCGUUUGUGUUGAAGCAGACACGUCUCCGUCGACGUGCCUGCUUCAUCGUAUUUUUUUUUAAAAAAAAACUUAAAAUUUAUUUCUUUUUCUCUACUUUAAUUUAAUUAUUGUAUAAUUUUUUCGAAAUUAUGAAAUCAUUUUUAGCUAUGACUUUUAGUUUUAAAUUCAAGACUUCACGUUGAAGCAGGAUAAAAAGCAAUUAACUUAAAUCAUAUUAAAAUUUAUUCUACUUUCUAUAUUCUACCUAUGUCACAUAAAUUAAAUUAAAAAUAAAACUAAAAUAUUAGGCCCGUGCUAGCACGGGCACCUAUUUCUAGUAUAUAUAUAUAUAUAUAUAUAUAUAUAUAUAUGCGCAAGGACAAAGCCAUAAGUGUGUGAGGGCAUUUUUAUAUUAAUUUUAAUACGAUAUGUGGGACCUACAACGUGCUUUUCCUCAACCAUUUUUUUCUCGUUCCUGCUUUUCUCUUUCAUGUUUUGUUUCAUUUUCUAUCUUUUUAGUGGAGUAUCUAUUUUGAAACCAAUUUCAUUAUUACCUAAUUUUUAUUUUUGCUUAUCAUAAAAAUAAAAUUUUCUUUUGUCUUAUAUAUUUUAUUAAAUAAAAAAUAUAUUGUUUUUUUAAUAUUAUUGUAUCACUAAAUAAAUGCAUAAGAUAUUAAUAGUCAAACUUAAUAUUUUAAAACAUAAUUAAUAAAACAAAUUUAAUAAAAUAAACCUCUAACAAAAUACAAGUGAAUCUAUAUAUAAAAAGAAUUGUGAAAUACAUAUUAUUAAAUUAUAUAUUAAAUAUUUAAAUAUUAUUGGCAUAUAGAAAAUAUGAGUGUUACAACUAUAUUGUUGUUGUUGUUGUUAAUAAAAUAAACCUCUAACAAAAUACAGGUGAAUCUAUAUAUAAAAAGAAUUGUGAAAUACAUAUUAUUAAAUUAUAUAUUAAAUAUUUAAAUAUUAUUGGCAUAUAGAAAAUAUGAUUGUUGUUGUUGUUGUUAUUAUUAGGUAUUUGUCCAUAAAUUCUAAAUAUAUUUUUUGGUUGCAAUUGUUGGCAUUGAAGAUGAAGUUGUGUUGGUUAUAUAGUUUGUAAAGAAUAUUUAAAAUGAUGUUUUUUUAAUGUACUUAGGUAAAUUGUUAAAAGUAAAAAAUAGUCUAGAAAUAGAUUAUUAGAUGUUCAAGUUUUUUAAUAUAACUUCAAAUUGAAAAUAAAUUAUAUUUCAAAUUUUGAUGGCCAAACGUUGAUUUUAAAAUAAAUUGAAAUAUUAUUACGAAAAAAAUAAAUAUUUUUAUGUUCGAAUGGAUCCUAAAACUAGAAGUUGAAAAAUAUAUGAAACAUAAAGAUGAUUUUUUAAAGAAUGAUAAAUGAAAAAUAAAAGAAAAAGAAACAAAAAGAAUUUUAAUAGACAAUUUUCAAAAUAUAAAUAACCAUUCAAAUAAUUAAUUUCAAUUUUUUACGCUCACAACCUCUAAUUAUCUACAACAUGGGCUUGACACAUUUUAUAUAAAAUUAUCCAGCUCUAACUUAUAUAUUAAUCACAAAAAAUCCAUUGGAAAUUCACUAAUCGAAAAAGAACAACGGAUAAACUAAUCAGAUCGUCUAACUAAUUUGACACAGGUCUUCAGGAAGUUGAGAAUUUGGAUAGAGCAUUAGUAAUUCACAAGGACUAUCAAGGCUUACAUGGAGACAGCUUGGGAGGGCAGGAUGCUGUGGUGUUAGAUACGGUGGAGUUUGAGAAAGAGCCUCAUCUGCAUUUAGAAGAUGUUGAUAACAGAUACAGGUCAGACAAUAGUGAGGAGCUCCUUACUGGUUGCUCACCUGUCAAUCAAGAACAUAUGCACAAUGUUAGUAUGAUUAGUGCUGCUCAAAAUGCAAUAAUCAAGUUUUCAGGGGUAAUCAAACAAAGUUCUCCUAUCAAAGAACUUCAUGAUUUGGUUUCUCAUAAAAUUGUAGAUAAAGACAACACUUCAGUAGAGGUAACAAAUCAACAGCAAAAUGAUCUAGUAAUAAACAAGGAUGAAAAUGAAAACUACAGUGAUCAUGCACAGGUUGUAAAUAAUGCAGGAGGUUCCCCUCAAGGGAAAUCAAAGAAGAAGAAGACUAAAUCUCAAGGGGAUAAGCCUAUUAGGAUUAACCCUAUGAGGUCUGGUAGAGCUAUGUCAAAAUGAUCUUUAAAGCAUUAAUAUGGAAUAUUAGAUCAAUUAGAUCUAAACAUUCUUUCCAUAGAGUGCAAAUGCUUCAUAGACAUCACAAAUUUGAUUUGGUUGCCUUGAUGGAACCUUUUCAAGAGACUAGGCAGAUCCAACAGUAUAAAAGGAGACUAGGCAUGGCCUAUGCAAAUUAUAAUAUCAAUGGGAAGAUUUGGUUGUUUGUAAAGGAGGACAUUCAGGUGGAGGUUGUUUCAGAUUCUGAACAACAGUUGACUAUUAAGAUGUUAUUCCGUAGUGGAUAUCAGAUUGUUAGUACUCUUGUCUAUGCUAAGUGUACAACUGUUGAAAGAAUUCAAUUGUGGGAAGAUUUGUAUGUCAUUGGGCAAAAUAUGUAUUUCCCCUGGUGUGUUGGAGGGGAUUUUAAUAUUAUUAUGGAUGCCGAAGAAAAGAUAGGUGGUCUACCUGUCUAUCCUACUGAGGUGGAUGAUUUUGCAUUUUGUGUCAAUUCCUGUGAAUUAUUUGACAUUAAAUUCAAAGAUAGCCCUUUCACUUGGUGGAAUGGGAGGACGGAUGGUGAUUGUAUUUUUAAAAGAUUAGACAGGGUUGUAGGGAAUCAAGCAUUUUUGGAAGGGUUGGGUCAUGUGGAGUUAGAACAUCUAGCUAGGACAGGGUCAGAUCAUGCUCCUAUGUUGCUAUCUUGUGGAGUUAAAACUAUCCAGUUCCUCAAACCUUUUAGAUUCCUCAACUUUUGGUCUGAAAAGGAAGGGUUCAAAGACCUGAUUAGGCAAAAUUGGGUUGAUGAUCAUUCUGAUGAUGUGUUUGUUAAUUUAAAGCUCAAGAUGAAGAAGACUAAACUAGCUCUUUCUAAGUGGAGUAGAGAAAGUUUUGGGGAUAUUUUCAAACAAUUAGUUAUAAGGGAGGAUAUUCUGAAAAUCAAAGAAAAAUUGUUUGAGGAUGUUCCUUCUGAUGCUAAUAGAAUUAUCCUCAAUAGAGCUCAAGAAGAAUAUACAAAAUACUUGAAGUUUGAAGAGGAUUUCUGGACACAAAAGGCUGGGAUGCAAUGGUUCAUUGAAGGAGAUAGGAGCACUAAAUUCUUCCACAAUAUUGUAAGAGGAAGAAGAAGAUUAGAAAUAUCCAAAAUGCAUAAAGCUGAUGGUACAUGGGCUGAAGGAAGUGAAGUUGAGGGAGAGGCUGUAAAAUUCUUUCAAGAUCAAUUUUCCAGUGAUUUGCAGGAGUCUAGUCUACCCCUUGUGGAUUUAAUUCCCUCUUUGAUUAAGGAGGAAGAUAAUGCAAUGCUUAAUAGGAUUCCCUCUUCUGAGGAGGUUAGAAAGGUGGUCUUUGAACUUAAUGGAAAUAGUACAAGUGGACCUGAUGGUCUGACUGGACACUUCUAUCAAGUUUGCUGGGAUAUAGUAGGAGAUGAUGUUGUGAAGGUGGUACUUGCUUUUUUUGAUGGGAUGACUCUCCCUAAAUUCAUCACCCAUACCCACCUUGUGUUGAUUCCUAAGAAGGAGAAAGUGAUUUCAUUUGUUGAUCUAAGGCCUAUUAGUCUGAGAAACUUGAUUAAUAAUGUUAUUUCCAGAGUUGUUCAUGAUAGACUGGAAGUAUUCUUACCUACUCUUAUUUCUGCUAAUCAAUGUGGUUUUGUUAAAGGAAGAAGUAUUACAGAAAAUGUCCUACUUGCUCAGGAGAUUAUUGUGGAUAUCAGGAAGAAGAGUAAAACUACUAAUGUGGUGUUUAAACUUGACAUGGCUAAAGCAUAUGACAGGGUAGAUUAGAGCUUUUUGAUUAAAGUAUUGGAAAAAAUGGGCUUUAACACAGUAUUUAUUGAUAAAAUAUAGAGGCUGGUGGCCAACAAUUGGUAUUCUGUGUUGGUUAAUGGCCAAGCUUGUGGAUUUUUUCACUCAACUAGGGGUGUUAAACAAGGAGAUCCUUUAUCUCCUUCUUUAUUCAUUCUAACAGCUGAAGUCCUUACUAGGGCCCUUAAUAAUUUGUUCAGCUAUGCAGGGUAUCAAGGGUUUGGUCUUCCAAAGUGGAGUGAACAGAUUAAUCAUCUUGCCUAUGCUGAUGACACUAUCAUUUUUGCUAAGGCAGACAAAUUUUCUUUGAACUUGAUUAUGAGGACUUUACAAGAUUAUGAAUCCCAAUCUGGUAAAAAAUUCAAUAAAGAAAAGAGUGCAUAUUUUGUUUAUCACAAGGCAGCACAAAGUGACAUCCAGAUGAUAGAAGAGUGUAAUGGUUUUACCAAAGGUAAGUUCCCUCUAACUUAUCUUGGGUGCCCAAUUGGGCAUGGCAGGAAAAGGAAAACUCAAUUCUCUGAACUCAUUAAAAAGGUUCAAAACAAAAUUCAAGCUUGGAAAGGGAAGCUUCUGUCGUUUGAGGGUAAGUCUGUAUUGAUCACUAAUGUAUUACAGAGUGUUCCUAUAUAUCAGUCGUCUGCUAUCAUUCCUCCCAAAUGUGUCAUUCAUGAUCUUCAUAGAAUCUUUGCAAGAUUUCUAUGGAAUUUUAAGGAAGUAGGAAGAAAUAAACACUGGGUUUCCUGGAACAAUGUAUGCUUACCCAAAAAAGAAGGUGGUCUAGGAUUUAGAUCCUUAUUUGAUGUUUCAAGAGCUUUAUUUGCUAAACUAUGGUGGAAUUUUAGAACAAAAAAUACUAUGUGGUCCCAGUUUAUGUGGAAUAAAUACUGUAAAAGGCACAGACCACAAACAGUAGAGUGGAGAGGGGGUUCUCAAACCUGGAAAUAUAUGCUAGCUGCUAGAGAUUUUUUUGAUCAGGAAAUAUGGUGGCAACCAAAUGGUGGGCAUUCUAGUAUCAUGUUUGACAAUUGGACACAAUUAGGGGAUCUAUAUUACUACCUACCAGUGUCUAAUAAUAAUGAAUGGAUGCAUAGAGAUGUUGAUCAAUUAUUUCAUGAAGGGAGGUGGAAUGAAGAGCUCUUAAGGACCGUAUUCCCUGAGAAUGUUGUAAAUCAUAUUCUCAAUGAUAUUGAGAGAUUUCAGGAUUCAGAGGAAAGAGAUAUUCCUAGGUGGAUGUUAAACAACUCAGGGAAAUUCUCAAUGAAGUCUGCAUGGGACAAUAUCAGAAUCCCUGGAAUUGAGGAUGAUAGUUUUGCUAGGAUGUGAGAGAAGGGUGUACCUUUUAAAGUAUCUUUCUUUUUCUGGAGAUUAGCAAUGAAAAGGAUCCCUAUUGGUGAAGUCCUAGCCAGAUUUGAAACUGAGGAGGAGAUGGUGUGUUGCUGUUGUGAUCAGAUGGCUAAUGAAAGUUUUCAACACCUCUUUGUCUCCUGCCUUGCUGCUAAUCAAAUGUGGAGUAGUUUUACUAGAGCUGCUGGUGUAGAAGGUCCUUUUCUUCAGAUAAAGGACACAGUGUAUAAGUGGUGGAAUGCAACUUGUUCAGCUAAUCUUAGACCUCUAUUCAAUGCUAUACCUGGUCUAAUACUCUGGCAAAUUUGGAAAAAGAAGAAUAGAAUAAGACAUGGUGACAAAAUGAAUGUGCAAGGAAUGAUAAAUGGAAGUAAACAAGAACCUGCACAUGUUAGCUGUUUUUAGAUACCCUUGGCUGAGGAAUAUCCCUGAGGAUUGGCCAAAUUUGGUGCAUUUCUUUGAAGGAUAUAAACCAAUCUUAGUUCCUAAGGUCAUUCAUUGGAAACCUCCUAUGGAGGGGACCUAUAAAUGUAACUCAGAUGGAGUUUCUAAAGGAAAUCUUGGACAAAGUGCUGGUGGGUUUUGCAUCAGGGAUUGGAAAGGUGAAUUUAUAUUUGCUGCAACCUAUGAUCUUGGCAAAAGAACAGGUUUGCAGGCUGAAACUAGUGCCAUGGAGAAAGGUUUAAAUUAUUGUGUUACACAUAAUUUACUUCCUGUGUGUUUAGAGACGGAUUCACUGGUUUUGACCAAGAUUUUAAAUGGGGUAUUGGAGGUCCCUUGGAGCAUUAAAAUUCAGAUUCAGAAGAUUGAAUUUUUGAGAAACAAUAGGGAGGUUGCAGUGCUACAUACGCUCAGGGAAGGCAACAAAGUGGCAGACUACUUCACUAACUUUAUUUUUUCUUUUGCAGGUACAUAAAAUAAAACUUUCCAAUCAAUUCAAGAUGUACCAAAGGAAGGAAAAUCCUUAGUACUCAUGGAUGCAAAUCAGAUUCCAAACAUUUGAAUUACUAAAAUGCAAAAUAAACUCUAUGGUUUGUAGUUUCGAACUAUAAUCUUUGCACAAAAUGAAAUGCAAUUGCAGUAUAAGUCAAGCAGAGGAGAGAAAGGAAAUACCUAACAAAUAUACAUAGACUUUAGAUCCUAGCUUCUUAGACAGUGGUAUCAGUUCCCUCGGAGCUCAAUCUGUCAAGAGGCGAAGAUCUAAGGAAAAUGGUUUUCUACAAGGCACUGAUAUCUGGAGAAAGCUCCAAAGAAGAUAGAUCUGUACAGCAAUGUAAGGGCAAUGAAUAACAAUGUGAUAUUGAGAUUCUUGUUGAAUAAUCGAUAGGGAUGUGGGGGUUACCUCUCACACAGGAAAGGGACCAAUGUUUUGAGCUGAAGAAGUCUUCAACGGACAAGAAUACAUGGCGUUAGUGAGAUUUUUAACGUCUUGAUGUACUCUAUCCAAGCUCGAUGAUAUGAGUCUCUAGUUCCACAGUGAGUAAGGUCUAACUCCUAUCUCAUCAUUUGCACAAGGAUCUUUGAUGUAGGUCCACCAUAGCUGCCGGAGUCGAGAAGAGGUUGACGGAGGUCCACCAUUGAUGACGGAAGAUUUAGAGACAGUGGUGUCUUGACUAUAGGAGGGUUUUGUCUUUCCCCUUUUUAUUUGUUUUUUGUUUCCAUUUCUUGUUUCAGAUUUUGGAUUAGGCGUUUUGGGAC